UACGGAGGGUGCUAGCGUUGUUCGGAAUCACUGGGCGUAAAGGGCGUGUAGGCGGCCUGCUAAGUCUGAUGUGAAAUCCCCUCGCUCAACGAGGGAACUGCGUCGGAUACUGGCAGACUCGAGUACCGGAGAGGAAGGUGGAAUUCCCGGUGUAGCGGUGAAAUGCGUAGAUAUCUGGAGGAACACCGGUGGCGAAGGCGGCAUCCUGGACCGACACUGACGCUGAGGAGCGAAAGCCAGGGGAGCAAACGGG
rnacentral:rRNA from 1 species